rnacentral:sRNA from 12 species
AGCCUAACCCUUUGGUCUAAACGCCCAAGAUAUGGUUAAAAAUCCACGUGAAUAAAGACGGUCUUCUGAUCGGCAUUAUUCACGUGGUCAACAUCCGAAAGGGUGUUGGGCGACGCAAGUUGCC